rnacentral:rRNA from 1 species
UACGGAAGGCAGCAGUGGGGAAUAUUGCACAAUGGGCGAAAGCCUGAUGCAGCUAUGCCGCGUGUAUGAAGAAGGCCCUUAGGGUUGUAAAGUACUUUCAUCGGGGAGGAAAAAACAAAACUAAUAAUUUUAUUUCUUGACGUUACCCGAAAAAGAAGCACCGGCUAACUCCGUGCCAGCAGCCGCGGUAAUACGGAGGGUGCUAGCGUUAAUCAGAAUUACUGGGCGUAAAGAGCACGUAGGUGGUUUUUUUAAAGUCAGAUGUGAAAUCCCUGGGCUUAACCUAGGAACUGCAUUUUGAAACUGAAAUACUAGAGUAUCGUAGAGGGAGGUAGAAUUCUAGGUGUAGCGGUGAAAUGCGUAGAUAUCUGGAGGAAUACCUGUGGCGAAAGCGGCCUCCUAAACGAAUACUGACACUGAGGUGCGAAAGCGUGGGGAGCAAACAGGGAUUAGAUACCCGU